rnacentral:lncRNA from 1 species
CUAGAUAUUUGAUUGCUUUGUUGGAACAGUUCCACAGUAGCUGACUGAGCUGACCUCCAGAUGUAUCUCCUCCAGGGCAUUAUGUUCUGUUUCGCAUUAUCAGCUGCAUGCUCCAAAGGGAUUCAAAUCAUCACUGAAGGUAAAAGCCCUCACAGACAUGAGGACACCAAAGUCCUUCAGAGCAUGGCCAUAGGAAAUGCUCGUCACCAUUUCAACAGCUCUAAAACUGGAUGUUGCAGGUGUCUCACAUAGACAGCUGCAAUUUUACUGAUGCUGUGCAGCACAGGAUAUCCACUCUCAUUACGUUUCAAGACACAGGAAAUGCAACUCAGUAUCUGAAUGCAUAAGAAGGAAGGAACCUUUUAAAGUUCAAGGUAAGUGCCAUGAUUUUUAAGUUGCUGCAGGAGGAGAAGAGAGCAUUUAAUGGAUCCUUUACUUAAUUCUGAAACUUGCUUUUCAUUUUUAAUGUUUCCUACAGGAUUCAAGAAGCCUGUUGACAGCAAUACACACUGGUAUAUAAAAAUCAAUUGCAAACUUUAAUACUUACAUGUGCUGGCUUCCAAGCCCCCAAAAGCCCCCACUGAGGAGGUUCACAAAUGGGAAGUGAAGAAUACCAGGCACUUGGAUCCUUAUUGUGAAGACUGACUGAAGAGAAGCAUGCAAAACAUAAGGUGCUAUACAAAAACCUUUGAAUCAGAAUGGGUAACUACACAAAUAAUAAACAAAAUAAAAAUACGUUGAGAAAUACGCA